CAUUCCCAUGUACACUAAAUUUUUCCUACAUGUGCUGUGCUUUUCCCCGUGCACCGCCUUGGAUCGACUUGCAAUGCGCAUGAGCACUGCGUUUUCGUGGUUGUUCAUGGAGGCGGAUUUCAUCAGCUGGUAAAAAUGCACAAAAGGGUCUCACAACUCCAAAUACCACCAAGGACCUGAAUGUUUCCAGUCAAAACAUUCCGCAGACCACAGCCCUCUGGUAAGAGGAAGGGAGUGAAACAACCACCCAGCGGCCUGGAAGCCACGCAGUACACAGGAGACAGAGGCCUCUUGCCCUUAAAUGCUGGGGCCUACCACCAUUGAUCCAUAGAUGCUAUCUUCCCAGUCGGCCUCCCGCCUCCUCUCCUCCUCAAGAAAUACUCUGAGCAUAGGGUACUGGCAUCCCUGAGGGCACGAGCCUGAGUUUGUGAUGGAUAAGUAUCCCUUGGAGACUUCAAACUGACACAAGCCUUUGUGGGAUCAGCCAGCAUCCACCGCCCCGAGUCCCCAGUUUCCAGCUGCCCCUCAUGCCAGGGGAGAAAGGCUCCCUAAGAAUGGGUCCUUCUGCUGAGCUGUUUGCUCCUGCCUAGUCCAAUGGGUACACACAUGGAUCCCCUUCAAUCCCUCAUCUCACAGCUGUCCAGGAAGAUACAUGAAAAUCCCAGGUGUGCAUUUUUAUCAGGUCUGUGGAUUUGUGAUGUUCUAAAGUGGAUGAGCAAGUCUGGAAGUGGCCAGAAGGUUGGAGGCUCCCAACUGGGUAUCUGAUCAAGUAUGUGUCCUGUGGAACAGAAAGGAAGAAGACAACCUCACGAAAGUGGAGUUAAGAAGAGAGAAAAGGAAGACAGACUAUCAACAAAGUCUCACACAGACAUUUCUACCCACUUCAACCCAGACCCAGGUAGUAAAAAAGAACAGAGCCAGGACAACUGUUAAAAAUUAUUUAAUAGAAAGUCCAAUGUCAAAAUGUAACAAUAAACAAAAAUACACAUGUAUAAAUAUGUAUAUAUAAUUAGACUCGUAUACUUUCUCAGACCCUUUUUGAAAUGGAACAGAAUCAUUAGAACAUUUUGAUAGUCAAUUCAAAAAUAGUAUUCAAGC